rnacentral:rRNA from 1 species
CCUACGGGCUGCUGCAGUGGGGAAUAUUGGACAAUGGGCGAAAGCCUGAUCCAGCCAUGCCGCGUGUGUGAAGAAGGCCUUCGGGUUGUAAAGCACUUUCAGCGGGGAAGAAAGCCUUGGGGCUAAUACCCUCGAGGAAGGACAUCACCCACAGAAGAAGCACCGGCUAACUCCGUGCCAGCAGCCGCGGUAAUACGGAGGGUGCGAGCGUUAAUCGGAAUUACUGGGCGUAAAGCGCGCGUAGGCGGUCUGAUAAGCCGGUUGUGAAAGCCCCGGGCUCAACCUGGGAACGGCAUCCGGAACUGUCAGGCUAGAGUGCAGGAGAGGAAGGUAGAAUUCCCGGUGUAGCGGUGAAAUGCGUAGAGAUCUGGAGGAAUACCAGUGGCGAAGGCGGCCUUCUGGACUGACACUGACGCUGAGGUGCGAAAGCGUGGGUAGCAAACAGGAUUAGAUACCCUAGUAGUC